GAUGAAGAACGCAGUGAAAUGCGAUAAGUAAUGUGAAUUGCAGAAUUCCGUGAAUCAUCGAAUCUUUGAACGCACAUUGCGCCCCCUGGCAUUCCGGGGGGCAUGCCUGUCCGAGCGUCAUUUCUGCCCUCAAGCACGGCUUGUGUGUUGGGUGUGGUCCCCCCGGGGACCUGCCCGAUAGGCAGCGGCGACGUCCGUCUGGUCCUCGAGCGUAUGGGGCUCUGUCACUCGCUCGGGAAGGACCUGCGGGGGUUGGUCACCACUAUAUUUUACCACGGUUGACCUCGGAUCAGGUAGGAGUUACCCGCUGAACUUAAGCAUAUCAAUAAGCGGAGGA
rnacentral:misc_RNA from 1 species